GGUUUUAAGCAUCACCACUGCUUUCUGUAGGCCAAUCACCAAGAAGGUGAUUUGUUAGUUUCACACAGAGCUUUCUUCCAUUCAUAUAUAUAUAGAGCAUCCAUAAUACCUUUUCUAAUUACUACAAGGUAUAUCUGGAUAGUAGGAAAAGGAGGUAUCAGGAGCUCACGUCCAAGAUUUUCUCUGGAAAAUGGUGCCCAAUCUCUUUCGUCGAGCACAGUCGACCUUGGCCUUUGCCGGCGCGGGUGCCAGUGCCAGCUUCUGCUACGGAGCAGCACUUGCCCUCUCCUGAGGCUGCUAUCCCACUCUUCGUUCCGUUCUGGUUGUUGCAGUGGAUCUAGCAAGCACAAGACGACUGGUCCGGAGGUUCUUGUCUCGUGGAUCCUAUUGUUUCUGGAAGCCUCUCUCAGGCUCUAUUCGCCACCAUAGCAGAGAUGGACCUCCACAGGCUCCUCUCUUCACAAAAGUAGAGGAGCUUGAGUUCGGGGGUAGAUAUGUUGGAUAUUUUCCAUCUUGUGAUCGACUCAACCUAACGUAUCAUGAUCAGCAUGUGUACCUUACGUGUGCCGAAAGGACUCAGCCUUGCUGAGAGAUGAAGUAGUACAUUACUAGCAUCAAAUAGCAACAAUUAUGAUAGUUCUUAAUUAUGGGAGGUGAGGCAUCAAGACCUUAAAGUCAUCAUAUUAUUAUAUACUCAUAGUCCUAUGUCGUGUGUAACAAGCUAUAUAAGCAUCUCUGUUUCGCUGCACAGUGUAACAAAGGAACCUUGUUUCCUCCCUAUAAGAUUCUAUGAGUGAAGAUGCACGAGGACAUGGGAAAGGGUGGUACCAGGAAUUUGUGAUUAAGAUUAUAGAUUGCAGGAAGACCACAACAUCUGAUAGAAGGAAGAACACGAAUCUAGAGCAGAACUUGUCUUCUACUCCUGACUGCUGGUUUCCUUUGUAGCGUCAUUAGCUUCUAAAAGCCUAUGCUCGGCAAUGCUGAUAGCUGUUGACGCUCGCUAUUGUCACACUUUUACUCCUAUUUAUCUUUAAUAAUAACAUGAAUUUAAUACCUUGAUUACACCUAAUAAACCGGUCAUUUUCACAUGUGCAAUGUAUUUUGGAGGAUGUUCUGUUUUUGCAGGGAAUCGGACCUAAAAGUAUCGAUAGGUGGCUUAUCUCUAUUUCUCUUCUUCCCAUCUUUUGUCAUCUUCCCAUAAGGAACCUGGAUGAUCCUGACCAUGUUAAAAAUAUAGUGCCCAUCUCAUUUUUCUAGAGCAGAUUCUUGAUCAGGCUUGGCGCUAAAAAAAUUACAGAACUUCUUACUUCGGUACAUGUGUCCUUCCACUAAGAAGCGUUUGUACCCAAGGUAAACUACCUUUCUAGAACCUUCUAGGAAAGACCAUACGGUGUCAUCAAUGCACACCGUUGCAUCCUGUCUUACCUUUCAUAUGUCCUGACAAGACAAACAAUGCUUGGUAAUGAUUGAUGGUGACGAAGAUCAUGGUUCUUAGAUUAAAUUCCUGCCGUGUAAAACCUUCAAUAAUGUUGAUACAAUUCUUCCAUAAAGUUUCCAUCUCUUGCAUCAAAGGCUCAAGAAAAAUAUCUAUAUCAAUCCCAGGAUGCUUUGGUCCGGAUGGAUAGCAAAAGGUACUUCUCUUUUGGCACAACCAUGUUGGCAGAUUGUACAUCAUCAAGAUCACUGGCCAUGUGCUGUGAGUGCUGGUCCUUUCACCGAAUGGAUUCAUUCCAUCUAUACUUAGUGCAAAUCUAACAUUUCUUACAUCAUUUCCAAAUUCUGGAUACUGCUCAUCGAACUUCUUCCACUGGCAGGCAUCAGAUGGAUGUCGAAGCUUUCCGUCACCCUUUGUGUGCUUAUCUAAAUCCCACCAUCGCAUCAGUUCAUCGUCCUUUGGGUUUGAGAAGAAACGUCUAAGUUGAAUGAAGAAUGAGAUUCCAGUAAGAGAAAUCCCACCAUCGCAUCAGUUAUGCGCUUAUCAAACAUCAAGGAAGCAGGCCAGCAGAGGCUGCUUGGCAAUCUCAUCCUUGACACGUGGCUAGAAGCAUGAGCUUCCAGUCCAGUUGAAUGUAUAUAUUAGUGAUUUUGUGCGAUUCUCAUCGUUUAUUCAUGUGUCUUGUCCGUUGUUGAGCCUUUUUGACAUUUAUGACAACCAAUAGUACUAUAUCGAAAGAAAGCAUUCAGAGGGUUUGUCCUCGGCUACACACCACCAGCUGCUAGGCAAAGACUUUAUUUCAAGGAAGCACCAUCAUAAGGUCAGUCGAUCAGUUAUGUCAUGAGCCAUGUACCUUUUAAACAUAUGCAUCCUACAGUCUACAUGCUAUAUACUCGGGUAUCAGUAAGGUUGCUGGCCAUGGUUUUAAGCAUCACCACUGCUUUCUGUAGGCCAAUCACCAAGAAGGUGAUUUGUUAGUUUCACACAGAGCUUUCUUCCAUUCAUAUAUAUAGAGCAUCCAUGAUACCUUUUCUAAUUACUACAAGGUAUAUCUGGAUAUCUGGAUAGUAGGAAAAGGAGGUAUCAGGAGCUCACGUCCAAGAUUUUCUCUGAAAAAUGGUGCCCAAUCUCUUUCGUCGAGCACAAUCGACCUUGGCCUUUGCCGGCGCGGGUGCCAGUGCCAGCUUCUGCUACGGAGCUCCUGAGGCUGCUAUCCCACUCUUCGUUCCGUUCUGGUUAUAUAGCAGUAGAUCUAGCAAGCACAAGACGACUGGUCCGGAGGUUCUUGUCUCGUGGAUCCUAUUGUUUCUGGUAGUUCAUCGUGCAUUUGAAGAAUAUUGGUGCCAGGGUGCACAUAUGUACUUCAGCUGGAUUCUCCACGUUCCCAAUUCGGCUGCAAAUUUAAGAGUGUGCUUCAAUUCCGCAAUACAGGGCAUCCACAGUAUUUCUUACAAACUCUCUCGUUUUUGCUCUCUGAGUUUCACAAUUUAAUUUGUACUUGUACUGAUUCAGACAGCCAUCAGAAAAUUUGAUUUCGAUCAUCCUACAGCACCUCCAGGUGAAGUUGCAUAUUGUAUCAAGUUCAAUACCUCUGAGUUACAUUCAUUUACAAAUCAUAGUUUUCCCUCCUUUUUUUUCGUUUUUUAGGGGCAUUGAAUGCUGACAGAUGUCUGUAUGGUGCUGUAUGUGCUGAGAUGGGCACAUAUGGGCUAGAUGGGGGUAAAAACAACGUUCUCGUUCUUCAUUUUUUUCUAGGUUGGGCCAGAAGCUCAGUUUGGCCUUGCCUCGCGGAAUUUACUAGGUGUUAAUGAUUGUUCAUGAAAAAAAAAAUCAAAAGUAUGGAUGGAAAUUUUAUCCAGGUGACCUGAGAAUGUAAAUCAAUCAACG
rnacentral:lncRNA from 1 species